rnacentral:snRNA from 1 species
GUAAAAGCAGUACGAAUACUAAAAUUGGAACAAAAUGGAGGAGAUGACAUGGCCCCUACACAAGGAUGACUCGCAGAAUUGGUGAAGUGUUCCAAAAAAAA